UUAAUAUAUUUAGAGCACUUAGAACAUACUAAGUCCUAUUUUUGUUAUUAUUAUUUCUUUAGUAUUCAUAAAACCUCUAAAAAUAAUGGGAAAGGCAACAUGGAAGGAGACAGGAAGUUGACAGCACCUAAUUAAAGGCCAUCAGCUGGGCACAAGAAGAGCAGAAAAUGAUCUGAACGUCAGAGCUGACCACAAGCUGCAGAUGACUCAGUACUUCAGUGAACAAGCUCAACGUAAGGCUGGGGAACUGGACUGCAAGAGUGACAGGCAGGUUCCUGGCUGUGAACCUUCUGCUCCGUGAUUCAUGACUCACACCUUUCCAGGGGCAUAGACUCUACACUUGGUCAUCUCAUCUUUUUAAAGGAUGUGGGAAGCGGUCCUGGGUCCAGAGGCAUAGAAACAGUGACCUGGGACUAUUUAUGUAAGAGACUGGAAGGAGUUGGAAGCAAGGUCAUCACGGCCCUAUGUUUAAUUUAUGAAGCAGCUGUUGGUCAUGUCUUCAGCAGCCUGAAUGGAAGGAAAUAGACCAGGAGGUGCAGCAUGAACAGAAGCAGCACUGGGUGGUGAGUCAGUAAACUUGUGAUUCCACUGUGUGACCCAGGGAAGUUUCCUCUCCGUUCCAGACCUCAGGAGCUCCAUAUGUAGAGUGAAGAUCCAGGCCAACCUAUGGUCUUGAGGAGGUGACAGCGACAAAUCGAAAUGCGUUUGGCUGCAAGUAACUGGCAAUUCAGCUGACUUGGCACGAACAAGCAAAGGUUUAUUUUCCCCACAGAAUAAAAGUUCAAUGGCUCAAGAAAAAAACCAGGCUCUUCCUGACAUCUCUGCAAUUCUCUUGGCUUCUCCUCAUGGUUUCAGGAUGGAUGCCUCAGUCCUUCUCAGGGUAGGAAGAAGGAAGAAGGACAUCACCGGUCACCUCUGUCCCUGCAAUUCCCAAAUUAAAGCUUCCCAGAACACUCAGAAGAGUAUCUCAUUGGGCAGAGCUGAUCACAUGACUGAUCACAUGCCUGCUCAGCUGCGAGGGAUGUUGGGAAAGGAAGGACCUGGGCAUUGUUGCAAAAGCUAAGAGGGAGGAGGGGAUGGUCUUGGGUUGGCCAACCACAGUGUCUCAGGGCAGCAAACCCCCAGUCCUGGCCCCAGUGACCUCAGCAUCCAGAGCCACUAUUGUCUGCCUGUGGCCUGCCCAGCUAAAGUUUAAGUCGUGAGAACAAGACGUGAGUUUGAAUCCUGACUCUGACAUUGGCUUUCAGUGGGACUGUGGGAGAGACUUCACAUCUCACCUGUACAGAAGAUGAAGUCCAACUCUUACCGGUGGCUUCACGGCCGGCUUCCUGGGCUCACAGCCACCUCAGAAGACCCUGCCCUGGCGUGUGGUGGCUCUCCUCUGCUGAAGCAGCCCCCAAAGGAGCUGGAAGCUGUCUGCUGCCUGCUCUCUCCAUGGCUGACAAGCAAAGCCUUCCUGAAGGGGCUCUGGGUGGCACAUCUCCAAGUGUACCCCUUUAUUUUUGUCUCCAGAUCUCUGUUUACUUGGUAAAUAUCUCCUGGUAACCCAUUUUGGGUCAAAACUUUAGUAUACUGGCAAUGUGGAGGUGAGGCAGUACAGCAGAAGGAUGAAGAGCUCUGGUUCUGGAGUCAGUGCUUCAUCAGGUCAUUGCUGUGUGGCCUUGAGCAAGUUACUUCUCCUCUCUGAGCCUCGGUUUUGUUUUAUGUGAAGUAAGGACAACAGUGUUUACCUCAUGGUGCUAUUGUGAGGAUGAACAGGUCAGGAAAAGGCUCAGCAGAGGGCCUGACACUUGGUAAUCAUUCAGCAAAUGGUCAUCAUUGUUAGAAUAUCAAAACUCUGAAUGAAUAAUGAACUUUGGUGGAAUGAAAAUAAAAGGCUGCCUCUUCCCUGAA